AUUUCUAGCCCCACGCCCACCCCCAAGCGCAGCUCCAUCUGUGGAGGAAUCCCAGGGCCAGCUGUGGAAUGCAAUCUACCUGGGACACAAGCAUCUGGGCCUGCGGGGAGAAGAGGUCCUCUCUGCCACUCCUGUCCUCCCCAGGGAGUUGCCUGCCCCCGUGUACAGCUCUUGGGGGUGUGGUGGGCACAGUGAGAGCACUCCCAACCCCCAAGACCAUCAGAGCGUCUAGUGUUCAGCCUUCCAGAGACUCUAUUCUCUUGCUGUGGGACUUUGGGCCAUGCCUGCCAUCUCUGAGCUCAUUUUCCCAUCUGCACAGUGAACAGCCUCCAGCCCACUGAAGAGCCAUAAGGCAAGGCCACAACGCCCCUCUUCCUGCUAGUCCUGACUCUGCCGCCAAAUCACUGGCUGACCCGAGGCCAGCCCCUUCUCAUCGAUGGGCCUUGGUGACCCUGCCUAGAAAAUGACACUUAGACUUUAAGAGGGAGGGACCCACAUUCUCUUCACCCUGGGCCACAAGACGUAGCACUUGGGAGACAGCAACGAAUGGAUGUGCAGCAGGCUGGCCACCGUGCCCCUCGGAGGCUGAAUCUGAAAAGCCCUGUGUCUCCUGCACCUCGAGGCAGGACGUACCUGCUUCCUCCCAUGGGCUUGGAGCCCGCCUAAAUAGUCAGCUCGGGUGUUAAUAUCCAGAGCGGUCCUUUUUGAAUGGCUGUCAGGUGUUUUCAGAGGCUCACCAUGGAUGCCAGCACCCACUCCUUCUGGUGCAGAGGUCCCCUUGCAGCUCCACAGGACAGCCCUGCCCUGCCCGAGGUUCAGGAUGGAGCUGGGAUGCUGGCAGGGAGGGGAGAAGCUGACAGAUGGAAGCCACCCUGGGUUUCCUGUUCUGUUCCUGCCUCUGGCCUGGCUACCGCCAGCCUGCAGCCUUGCCCCCUAGGGCAGGUGAGAGUUCGACUCGGGCAUGGUUUGACCAUUGGCACCUGUAAGAACAGUGAAGAGAGCCCCAGAAUCUUAGACCUCAGGGGGCUGCAGGCGUCUCUGGUCUAACCCCUCCC
rnacentral:lncRNA from 1 species